CCUUCGGGUUAGUGGCGGACGGGUGAGUAACGCGUGGGAAUCUGCCCUCAGGAGGGGGAUAACGGUUGGAAACGGCCGCUAAUACCCCAUAUGCCGAGAGGUGAAAUGAAUUUCGCCUGAGGAUGAGCCCGCGUCUGAUUAGCUAGUUGGUGAGGUAAGAGCUCACCAAGGCAUCGAUCAGUAGCUGGUCUGAGAGGAUGAUCAGCCACACUGGGACUGAGACACGGCCCAGACUCCUACGGGAGGCAGCAGUGGGGAAUUUUCCGCAAUGGGCGAAAGCCUGACGGAGCAACGCCGCGUGAGGGAUGAAGGCCUCUGGGCUGUAAACCUCUUUUAUCAAGGAAGAAGAUCUGACGGUACUUGAUGAAUAAGCCACGG
rnacentral:rRNA from 1 species